AUUGAACGCUGGCGGCAGGCCUAACACAUGCAAGUCGAGCGGAGCGGCGGACGGGUGAGUAAUGCCUAGGAAUCUGCCUGGUAGUGGGGGAUAACGUCCGGAAACGGGCGCUAAUACCGCAUACUAUCAGGGGAGCCUAGGUUGGAUUAGCUAGGUGGUGGGGUAAAGGCCUACAAAGGCGACGAUCCGUAACUGGUCUGAGAGGAUGAUCAGUCACACUGGAACUGAGACACGGUCCAGACUCCUACGUGAGGCAGCAGUGGGGAAGAUUUGGCAAUGGGCGAAAGCCUGAUCCAGCCAUGCCGCGUGUGUGAAGAAGGUCUUCGGAUUGUAAAGCACUGUUAUUUGGGAGGCGUUACCAACAGAAUAAGCACCGGCUAACUCCGUGCCAGCAGCCGCGGUAAUAC
rnacentral:rRNA from 1 species